rnacentral:rRNA from 1 species
GGAAGGUCCGGGCGUUAUCCGGAUUUAUUGGGUUUAAAGGGAGCGUAGGCCGGAGAUUAAGCGUGUUGUGAAAUGUAGACGCUCAACGUCUGCACUGCAGCGCGAACUGGUUUCCUUGAGUACGCACAAAGCGGGUGGAAUUCGUGGUGUAGCGGUGAAAUGCUUAGAUAUCACGAAGAACUCCGAUGGCGAAGGCAGCGCACUGGAGCGAAACUGACGCUGAAGCGCGAAAGUGCGGGUAGC